rnacentral:tRNA from 1 species
GGAAGGGUGGUCGAGUGGCUUAAGACAAAGGUUUGCUAAACCUUGACCCCGCAAGGGGUCCCGUGGGUUCGAAUCCCACCCCUUCCG